UUGAGGAGGUGGUGACCGUGGCGGUGUAGGUGGAAGCGGCGGUGGAGGAGGAGGAUGAGGUAGAAAAAACAGUUUUUAAUAUAUCUAUAUAUUUCUUAAUUGGCAUAGCCCCCAAAAUAUUGGGACAUAUAAAAAAAGACAACUCUGUUCCGCAGAGUAGCUGUUGACAUUAUAGUUGCGCAGGCACUUUGUUGAUCCCUGUGACAGCAACUUUGCAUUCGGAUGUCAUCCAUAUCAACUUUCGAUGCCAGUUUCUGCACCUACCAUGGUGACCACGGGUAACAUGGAAUAAGGGUACCAUUCUGCAUUACAUACAGGGACCCUGAGAAACGGCUACCACAUGCAAGUAAGGCAGCAGACGCGUAAAUGACCCACUCCCGACGCGGGAAGGUAGUGACGACAGAUAAUACAGAACUCUUUAGAGGCCCUGUAAUUGUAAUGAGUCCACUUGAAAUCCUUUAACUCUGAUCAAUUGGAGUGAAGUCUGGUGCAGAGCCACUGACCCGUGCGUGCUGCAGCUGAAACUCCACUAUCGCCUGCUGCUGCUCCCA